UAUUUUUAUCACGAUUACUUAAUUGAACUAAAUCAACUGCUAUUAUAUUUUUAUUUAAUCAGUUUCGCUUAACUAAUCCACUAGUUGUGCUCAAUCAAACUGCAAACAGUUUAGUUAAAUGGUUGAUUAAUCUUAGUCAACUUCUCGCUUUGUGCGCAAUUUAGUAGAAGGGGGAGAAAAGAGAAAAGUAAGCAAAAGUCGAAACGUGAUUGGGUCUCUUUAUGUGGCUGCCAUCGUCAUCAGUUGGAUUUGCUGCCAAAGUGAAAUGGAAAGCAAAGCAAAAAAAGUACAAAACUACUACACGUUCAAUGUUUGCGGUUUUGUUUCUGUGCACGUUUUUGUUAUGAAUAAAUUACUUAAAAUAUAACUGGGAUAUGCACACUUCUGCUCUGUCAAGUCAAGUCAAAUCACAUAAAAACAAAAGCGCACCGUCACGCGACAUAAAAAAAUUCAAAGUAAUCUCCGCUUCUCACUAUAUUGAGUCCUGAUAUGCGCGAAAUACGCAUAAUCAAUGACUGAAACUGGCGGGAAUUCUGGAUUUUGGCUUUAGUCAGGAUUCUUUUUUCUCCCUCUACAUUUCUGCAUCAUUAAGUAGCACAGCAUGUCGACAAUAUGCUAAUAACUGUCAAGGCAGCAUUGAAGGAGCUGCACAUUACACAUACGCCCUGUGGAGCGUCUGAACUUCUGUGUGGAAUACUAACUAUAUUUUAUGGUGCUGCAAAUACACAAAGUAUACAAACCAUUUUUGGCUGCGAAAUUGACAGAAAAAACAUUUACACACAAAAUGCCACAAAAUGCUGCCCACAGCUGUGUGGUUGACUCCUUGGGAGUGUUGAUUCCACCAACAAACAAUUUGUGGACCACUAACUACGAGUUGACAAAAAGCUUCUAGCUGCUUCUGAUGAUUGAUGGAAACUUCGGGAGCUGUUGCAGGACAUCACAACAAUGACCUAAUCUCUACCAGCAGACAUGAGUUUACUAAAUGGCCACAUCAAUAUAAUUGCCUACGAUUGAAUGGUUGCAAUAACCGAAGCUUUAGUGUAGCACAGCACGCAAUAAAGCCAUCACUAGCACCAUCUAGCGGCGAGUGGUUGUACCAUAUGCAACAAACUACGAAACUUGGCGAGGCAAAAUAAGUAAUACUGCAAGCAAAACUUUCAGCAGACCAAACAGACUUAAAUGUAA